rnacentral:rRNA from 2 species
UUCGGACCUCCGAUCAAGCAAGAGGACCCGCUGAA